rnacentral:rRNA from 1 species
CGUACACAAAAGCGCAUGUGCUGUGAGCUCGAUGAGUAGGGCGGGACACGUGGUAUCCUGUCUGAAUAUGGGGGGACCAUCCUCCAAGGCUAAAUACUCCUGACUGACCGAUAGUGAACCAGUACCGUGAGGGAAAGGCGAAAAGAACCCCGGCGAGGGGAGUGAAAAAGAACCUGAAACCGUGUACGUACAAGCAGUGGGAGCCCCACCACUAAGCCAGUGGUGAACUCCACAUACGCAUCCUUUGCUGAAGGCAAUGGUUAACGGAGCGAAAGCGACGUUCAACCGCAAAACAAGCAGAGGGGGCUUAGUGG